rnacentral:rRNA from 1 species
GGAUGACGGCCUUCGGGUUGUAAACCUCUUUCAGUAGGGAAGAAGCGAAAGUGACGGUACCUGCAGAAGAAGCGCCGGCUAACUACGUGCCAGCAGCCGCGGUAAUACGUAGGGCGCAAGCGUUAUCCGGAAUUAUUGGGCGUAAAGAGCUCGUAGGCGGUUUGUCGCGUCUGCCGUGAAAGUCCGGGGCUCAACUCCGGAUCUGCGGUGGGUACGGGCAGACUAGAGUGAUGUAGGGGAGACUGGAAUUCCUGGUGUAGCGGUGAAAUGCGCAGAUAUCAGGAGGAACACCGAUGGCGAAGGCAGGUCUCUGGGCAUUAACUGACGCUGAGGAGCGAAAGCAUGGGGAGCGAACAGG